rnacentral:rRNA from 1 species
GACGUAGGGUGCAAGCGUUGUCCGGAUUUAUUGGGCGUAAAGAGCUCGUAGGCGGCUUGUUGCGUCGACUGUGAAAACCCGCGGCUUAACCGCGGGCUUGCAGUUGAUACGGGCAGGCUAGAGUUCGGUAGGGGAGACUGGAAUUCCUGGUGUAGCGGUGAAAUGCGCAGAUAUCAGGAGGAACACCGGUGGCGAAGGCGGGUCUCUGGGCAUUACCUGACGCUGAGGAGCGAAAGUGUGGGGAGCGAACAGG